UACGUAGGGGGCUAGCGUUGUCCGGAAUCAUUGGGCGUAAAGCGCGCGUAGGCGGCCCGGUAAGUCCGCUGUGAAAGUCAAAGGCUCAACCUUUGAAUGUCAGCGGAUACUGCCAGGCUAGAGUCCGGAAGAGGCGAGUGGAACUCCUGGUGUAGCGGUGGAAUGCGCAGAUAUCAGGAGGAACACCGAUGGCGAAGGCAGCUCGCUGGGACGGUACUGACGCUGAGGCGCGAAAGCGUGGGGAGCGAACAGG
rnacentral:rRNA from 1 species